CCAGGGCCUCCUGCCUCCUUUUCCUCCGGGCAUGUUCCCACUGUGGCCACCAAUGGGUCCCUUUCCACCUGUCCCACCUCCCCCAAGCUCAGGAGAGGCUGCAGCUCCUCCGUCCACCAGUGCAGCCACUUCUCGACCCAGUGGAGCAGCCACCACCACAGCUGCUGGCACGAGUACUUCUGCCCCAGCAUCUGGCUCUGUACCUGGCCCAGAGGCUGGUCCUGCCCCUGGCUUCCCUUUCCCUCCUCCUUGGAUGGGUAUGCCUCUGCCUCCACCUUUUGCCUUCCCCCCGAUGCCUGUGCCUCCUGCGGGCUUUGCUGGCCUAACCCCAGAGGAGCUGCGGGCACUGGAGGGCCAUGAGCGGCAGCACUUGGAGGCCCGGCUACAGAGUCUGCGCAACAUACACACACUACUGGACGCCGCCAUGCUGCAAAUCAACCAGUACCUCACUGUCCUGGCCUCCCUGGGCCCCCCCAGGCCAGCUACUUCAGUGAACCCCACUGAAGAGACUGCCUCUACAGUGGUAUCUGCUACCCCUUCCACCAGCGUCCCCAGCUCUGAGGCUCCUGCCCCAUCCCUGGGAGCCUCCCCACCAAUUCCUGAAGCUGAAAAGCCUCCUGGUAAGUAAGUAACCUUUAGGGAUGGGAUGAAGGGUUCUCUGGGUUUCACUUCUGCUCUCUUCCUAGCUCCUGAGUCAGUGAGCACUGCAGAAGAGCUUCCUGAGGAUGGAGAGCCUGAUGCUGCAGAACUCCGCCGGCGUCGCCUGCAGAAGCUCGAGUCUCCCGUUGCCCACUGACACUGCCCAGAUCUGGCCCUGCUCUCUUGAGUAGCCCUCACUGGAACACGUCCUGCCACCAAGUGCCAGCUCCCUCUCUGUUUGCACCAGGGAGUAGUAACCCCAGUUGAGAAAGACUUGGCAGGAUCUCUGAGGAUCAAGUGUCUGGGCUUCCAGUUGAUCCACCCCAGUGCCCCUGGCAGCCACGGGGGUGUUGGUCAGUUCUAACCUUCCUCCUCUACUUCUGCUAUGUUCUACUGGGGCCUUGAAAGUAGAAGCUGAGCCUCUGGCAAGCCUCUCCCAUGCUUUUAGGGAGAAGGUGAAGCCCCUCUAAGCCCUGCUUGUGAGUAUGGGACCAUGCUGCAGUGCCGAACAGUAUUAGCUUCUGUUCCCAAGUGUGGAAACCCAGAGGGGCUGAAGACAGACCAGGACCUUGCCCCACUCUCUGCCAAGACUGGUACCAGUCUCUUUUCCUCUACCCAUCUUCCCAGAACCCCCUUUGUGAUGGUGGCUGUGCCCCCUAAGCCCUGUGGCAUUUCCAUGUCUUACUGGCAACCACACAACUCAGGGAAAGGAGUGCCUGGGGGUGGGGCACAGGCGGGCAGC
rnacentral:lncRNA from 1 species